CAUUCAGGUCUAUAGUAUUUUUGC
rnacentral:siRNA from 1 species